UACGGAGGGGGCUAGCGUUAUUCGGAAUUAUUGGGCGUAAAGGGCGUGUAGGCGGCUUCGUACGUCUUGUGUGAAAGCCCGCGGCUCAACCGAGGAAUUGCACGAGAAACUGCGUGGCUCGAGUCCGGGAGAGGAUAGUGGAAUUCCCAGUGUAGCGGUGAAAUGCGUAGAUAUUGGGAGGAACACCGGUGGCGAAGGCGGCUAUCUGGACCGGUACUGACGCUGAGACGCGAAAGCCAGGGGAGCAAACGGG
rnacentral:rRNA from 1 species